AAUAAAAUACCUUAAAACAUAAAGGACUACUUUGAUAAAGUAAAAAUGAUUAAAAUCUUUUAUUA
rnacentral:tRNA from 1 species